rnacentral:rRNA from 1 species
CCUACGGGAGGCAGCAGUGGGGAAUCUUGCGCAAUGGGCGAAAGCCUGACGCAGCCAUGCCGCGUGAAUGAUGAAGGUCUUAGGAUUGUAAAAUUCUUUCACCGGGGACGAUAAUGACGGUACCCGGAGAAGAAGCCCCGGCUAACUUCGUGCCAGCAGCCGCGGUAAUACGAAGGGGGGCUAGCGUUGCUCGGAAUUACUGGGCGUAAAGGGAGCGUAGGCGGAUAGUUUAGUCAGAGGUGAAAGCCCAGGGCUCAACCUUGGAAUUGCCUUUGAUACUGGCUAUCUUGAGUAUGGGAGAGGUUAGCGGAACUCCGAGUGUAGAGGUGAAAUUCGUAGAUAUUCGGAAGAACACCAGUGGCGAAGGCGGCUAACUGGCCCAUUACUGACGCUGAGGCUCGAAAGCGUGGGGAGCAAACAGGAUUAGAUACCCUGGUAGUCCACGCCGUAAACGAUGAGUGCUAGUUGUCGGCAUGCAUGCAUGUCGGUGACGCAGCUAACGCAUUAAGCACUCCGCCUGGGGAGUACGGUCGCAAGAUUAAAACGUUAAAUGAAUUGACGG